rnacentral:tRNA from 1 species
UAGGACAUGGUGUAUUCUGGUAGCACGAUGGAUUUUGAAUCCUUAGGGGUAGGUUCGAUGCCUGCAGUUCUAG